GGGAGGGAGAGGUUGGUGUCCUCUGCUUCAGAGACAGGAGGGAGAAAAGAGAGAGGAAAGGAGAAGGAGAGAGAGGGAGGGAGAGGUUGGUGUUCUCUGCUUCAGAGACAGGAGGGAGAAAAGAGAGAGGAAAGGAGAAGGAGAGAGAGGGAGGGAGAGGUUGGUGUCCUCUGCUUCAGAGACAGGAGGGAGAAAAGAGAGAGGAAAGGAGAAGGAGAGAGAGGGAGAGAGGUUGGUGUUCUCUGCUUCAGAGACAGGAGGGAGAAAAGAGAGAGGAAAGGAGAAGGAGAGAGAGAGAGGGAGAGGUUGGUUGGUGUUCUCUGCUUCAGAGACAGGAGGGAGAAAAGAGAGAGGAAAGGAGAAGGAGAGAGAGAGAGGGAGGGAGAGGUUGGUGUUCUCUGCUUCAGAGACAGGAGGGAAACCCAAACCUUUGGUUAGAAUUCCACAUGCAUGAACAGCCUGUCUGGCUGCUGUUGAGGAGAAGCAGAGCUGUCAGUGCCGGGGCACCAGCUAGAAACCCCCUUGUUGAAGAUGUCCUAAUCCGGACAGUGGUGGUAAACGUAUCUGACGGGCUGAAAUGAAUACAUGUAUUGUGGCUGGCUAUGUAUG
ensembl:lncRNA